UUGCUGAUUUGUAAAUAGUGUUGGCGAGUGGAUCGAGCUCACUGCUGAUUCAGGUGAACUGAACUGUGGAUAUCCUGACAACACAGAUUGGCUUCACUCCAAAGAACUAUUUCUAAACAGGUUUUGAAAAAUCAAAACCUACAGUGCUGCCCCUGCAUUUAGGAUAGACCUUCACACUUCAGUUAACCUGGAUGGAAGAUCCACAUGGACAUGACCAAGCUUAGUAACUGCAGGACACUAAGAGCCGUUCAGUUAACAAUCAGUUAACAAAAGGUCAUUUGUCACAUUGAGAAGGGUGAGUCCGUGACCAUCAUGGCAGGGAGCAUGGCAGCAGGCGUGGCGCUAGAGCAGUAACUGAGAGCUCACAUCUCUUCCACAAGCAGGAGGCAGAGAGAGAGAAAGAGGAUGGACCUGGUGUAGGCUUUUGAAAGUUCAA
rnacentral:lncRNA from 1 species